rnacentral:lncRNA from 1 species
UCUCUCUCUCUCUCUCUCUCUCUCUCUCUUUCUUUCUUUCUUUCUUUCUUUCUUUGUAUAUAUUUCACUAGGGAAGUUUGUCCAUCAUGAGGGCCUGAAGUACUGCAGACAGUGCAGAAGUAUUAAUUGAAAAAAAGGAGAAUGAGCAGAGAGAAAUUCACCAUAAAAAAGGAACAAGAAUCAAUCCUACAUCAGCUAGUAAAGCCGUUGUGUGGGAUUCAAGAAGGGAGUGAGCUGCUGUUUUCAGAGAAUCAAAAGAUUUAGGGCCUAGAAUUUGAUGUAGAGAUAAUUGUAUGAACAUAAGGUCAUGAUAUUUAUAUCAAUCAUGAAAAACCUUAAAACUACCCAAUGUCCACUCUAGGACCACAUAAUAAAGUAUUUAAAUAAUAAAAGUGGUAAAUCUUAGCAGAUAUUGUGCAAGUAAUAAAUAUAUUGUGCUUCAAAGGCAAUAUUACAUCUUGUUAAAGCCUGUUUUUAAAAAUGCCGAGAGC